GUAAUCACUUGUCUUCUAAAUAAAGACCUGUAUGAACGGCUAAAUGAGGACAAACCUGUCUCUUGUAACCAAUCAGUGAAACUGAUCUGCCCGUACAAAAGCUGGCAUAAACACAUAAGACGAGAAGACCCUGUGGAGCUUAAAACAAAUCACUAACAACACCCUAGUGUAAUGUCUUUAGUUGGGGCGACUUCGGAACAAAAUAAAACUUCCGAGCAGAGAUCCACAACUUCUUACUAAGGCCAACAAGCCAAAGUACUACACCGACCCGGCCACGCCGAUCAACGAACCAAGUUACCCCAGGGAUAACAGCGCUAUCUUCUUCAAGAGUCCAUAUCGACAAGAAGGUUUACGACCUCGAUGUUGGAUCAGGACAUCCAGGCGGUGCAGCCGCUGCCAACGGUUCGUUUGUUCAACGACUAACGU
rnacentral:rRNA from 1 species